CUUUUUUUCCCCCAUUGUUGCAGCAGUGAGAUGGGAUCUGAUGUUCUUUGUGAACGGAACCUCCCAGCUAAAAUGAUUGAAUAGGACGGGAGUCAGUGACCCGAGUUGGCAUAUAAAUUGAGCAGCUGGCGGNNNNNNNNNNNNNNNNNNNNNNNNNNNNNNNNNNNNNNNNNNNNNNNNNNNNNNNNNNNNNNNNNNNNNNNNNNNNNNNNNNNNNNNNNNNNNNNNNNNNNNNNNNNNNNNNNNNNNNNNNNNNNNNNNNNNNNNNNNNCUCUCUCUCUCUCUCUCUCUCUCUCUCUCUCUGAUCUGAAACUUUUCCUCUCUCUCUUUCACCGAUGCCACCCUCCUUCGCCGAUGCCAUCCCACCCGCCGCUUCAUCUCCGGCUCCGACGAGGUCCGGGAGCUGCCGGAAAACGACUGCAAGAUCUGAACGAUCGCAUCCACCAAGACCCGAGGGGCCGGGCUCGUCAUUCUCAUCGACGACAUCCACUUCGGUCAAGUCCAGUGAGCCCGUCGUUGUCGCCGCCGUCGGUCAACAUCUGCACCGUUUCACAUUGGCGCUGCCUCGAGGAUCCGCGACCGAGAUGUUACCAUCGAGAUAGGACGACUCCGGAGAAGCGUUGCGCUACUACGAGUCCGAAGAGCAGCGUUCUGGUCGUUCUCCAACGUCGUCUGCACACCGUCGCUUGGAAACGUCGAUGCGAGCUGAGCUUGACGAGGCCGACGAAGAUGGAGUCGGGAGGGAAGGUGGAGGCGGCGCCAGGGAGAGGAGGCUUGGUGUUGGUGGAUUUGGAGCGGAGGAGCUCGGUGAGGACGGUCAGGAUGCGCUUGGAGUCCACGUGGACGGUGAAGAGGUUGGGGACGUUGGCGGGGUAGGCGCGGAUGACCUCCGGCUGAUCAAUCUCCUCGAUUGAAAUCCCUCAAAACUUAGGCAGGUGCAUGGCUUUGACUAGUUUUUCUCUCUAUUUUUAUGAGAUGAGAAUUUGAGAAAAGAGGAAGGGUGAAUAGGAAAAGGGACGGUGGAAUAUUGAACGUUGACGAUGUUUAUUAGUCCAGUUGUUUUGUUUUCUGAGUCCUUUCGAACUUAAAAAUGUAUGUUUAAAAUGAUUAUUGACUGACAGUAACUGAUUAUUGGGGGUCAGUAACUGAUUAUGUUCUAAUAUUUCUUUUUUCUAGUAUUAUUAAGCUGAAAUAAGUUGAUUAUUGGGGGUCAGUAAUUGAUUAUUAGAGGUUAGUAACACGAUUAUUAGGGGUCAGUAACUGGUUAUUGGGGUCAGUAACUGGUUACUGGGUGUCAGUAACUAACUGGUUACUGGGUGUCAGUAACUGGUUAUUAGGUGUCAGUAACUGGUUACUAGGUGUCAGUAACUGGUCAGUUAGUGGUUACUGGGUGUCAGUAACUAGUUAUUGGGGGUUAGUAACUGAUUAUUAUGAGUCAUUAACUUGUCAGUAACUGGUUAUUGGGAGUCAGUAACUAGUUACAGGGGAAAUUCCGGAGUCCGGCGAUCGAGGAAAUUCUGGUGACCGGAGUCCGGCGGUCGGGGAAAUUCCAGUGACCGGAGUCCGGCGGCCGGUGACCAGAGUCCGGUGAGAUUCCGGCCAAGUAUUCUCUCUUUUAUUUUCUCUCUCUAUGCAUAUGUAAGAGGUGAGGGCAAAAUAGUCUUAAAAUAAUAUGGUUAAUUUGUUAAGACUUUAGUAAAUAUUUGUGUAUUUUGGCAUAAAGAUUUGUGCAUUUGGACAUAAAAAAAUGCAUCUUAUAUUGAAAUGGGCUAAUGAAAAAGAUUUUCAUUGGAAUAAAAAUAAAAAUUUAAAUUAGUACUAAAUUGACAUUCUAAUGCAAUAGAAUGGUCUGAAUGUGGAGGAUGGACCAAAUUAAUACCGCAGUAAUAUGAUUAGGGUGUCAUUCACCCGGCCACAUCUUGUUGUUUUCGAUUCAAGUAUCAAGCACCCACAUGGCACAUGGAGCAUCCCACAACUGUCCCCGGCGCUAGUAGUUGCCACCGUCCAUCUUCGGACUAGCAAAUUGUUAUGGAUCAUUCUCCUUACCAUGAUCCACGACGUAUUACCAAGAAUACAUGAUAAGCCAUUGUUUCCCCCUUUCUUUUGCGUCUGUGACUAUCAGGACCGGGAGAGAUGAGGUUUAUUGGUCUAUGGUGUGGUGAGGGUACGGUACAUGGUUCGUUAUGGUGUUUCCUGCCUAUCCACCGUUGCAUAUGUGCGAUCGGCGUAUGAAUUUAGGUUAUAUAUAUAUAUAUUUUUUUUUUUCAUUUUAAAUGGUGGGCCUCGCAGCCAACAAAUGCCCGUCACACAUUAACCGUUAGCCCUGUAUGGUCUCCGCCUGGCCCAUAUAAAUAAUUUGUUUUUUAUAUUCUUUUUCUUUCUUUUUUAAAUGGUGGACCCCGCAUUUUGCGUGUAGCGAACCGCCUAGCCCCAAAUGAUCUCCGCCUAAUCCAUAUAAAUUAUUUUUCGUUUAUAUUUUUUUUCCUCUUAAAAUCUGGGAAGAAACCUUUAGCGGCCUUACUGUUGUUGUUGCACAGCCGACUUCUCCGUCUCCGCCACGUAAUUGGACUACGGCCAUGGUCAUAUGUCUAAACUUAACAUGUAUGUGUUGAAUUGAAGUUUCUGAGUCAGAAGGCUGUUAGAGUCAUCGAUUGCAGGUAUAUAUGGUAUAUUAUUGCCGUAUAUAUAUUGGUUGAUUGUUUAGUUUCCGAGUUGUUGUUAAGGAUCGGGUUAAAAAGAUUGAGCAUUAUAUUAUAGCUAUUUAUAGCUAUAAACAGCACAUUGCAUAUCCAUUGAUGAAUUUAUGUUAGUGAUGCAUGUUGGAAUGAAAACUGAUCGGUGUUGGCUAGUUUGGAAUGAAAACUGAUUUGGUGUUAGCAAGUUUCAAUUGAAUAAAGUUUGAAUUGCAUUUUGUAUAUUCUAGAUUAAGUUAUUAAUUGUCGCUUCUGCAUGUUGGUUUUAUUCUUGUUUUAGGACAUUUUAAUCAGGUUUCAUUUUUUGUAUAUGUUACUAUUGAAUUUGUUGUGCUAGGUUUCUUGGUUCUACUUGCUGAUGAUGAAGUUUAGGUCCUGGCAAAGUUGAUAAUUUUGUAAGCUUGUAGGUGUUUUGCCUUGUGUCAUGGUCCAUUACGAAGGGUGAUGAUCCUGCAAAUGCAGCCUUCUCGGAAGUAAGUUAAUCUCAUGAAAUUAUCUCAUCUUUUUAAUCCUUGUCAGAGCUCUAUACAUUUUUUGGUUUAAGCAUACCAGCUUGUGUUUCAAGUCAAAUUUAUUGUUUGAGAUUCAUAUCUUUUGUUUAGUCUCUGUUGUUUUACUUUUAUUCGUCUCUUUGUCCAAUUGUUAUAAGAUCCGAAAACGUUAUAUAAGAUACUAGAUUGAGAAUGUUCCAAGUUCUAAAACACCACAUAAUGUUUCGUUUCGUGCAAAGGGACCUGAGACUGGAAGUCAAGUACCAUAUGGCCUUGCAGGGGAGAGUAGUCUGGUUAAACGUGAUUGACCCAGAUUUCACUGAAAUUCUUAGGAAUGACUAGAAUCUAGUUAAACAUGCAGUUGCCCCGUUGCCCUCAUGGACCUUGUGAGAAUGUGAGUGAAAGCAGCUUCCAGUGUUCCAUUUGAGCCAUAAGUUGGGCCUUUCUGCAACGGUCACCUUGGAGGACCAUUAAGGAACCAAACAAGUGGAUCGGCCCAUUUAUGAUCUUAGCCCUAGUCUAAGCAAGAACAAUAAGAGAGAGACUUGCAUGUCAAACUAUUCACUUCUUUCAUACAUGUAUGCAUAGGAAGUAAGUAAUGGCAAACAGAUGGUAUUAUGUAGGUGAUUGUAAAUCGAACAUAAACAUAUGGUUCCAUUCAAACCGAAGGAAUAUAAUGUACAACUUUUAGUGGGCUAAUUAACACGCAUAUCAAAGUUGCUUCUCUAGCUAGUAAAAGAACUAAGAACAACGUACCCUUAUUAUACUACUCAACAGUCGUUCAUAAAUUAAACAAACUCCAGAUUUUGAGUAAUAGAAAAUGGAGUUGCAUUGGACUUGUCCUACUUCUUUGUCGGCAAUAGACGGUGUGUAUGAGUGCAAUCGCAGCAGCAUCGAAUAUUUUAACUAGUUUGUAGGCUUGGGGAUCGUUCUUUCAUGUGAAUCAAUCACACAUAUAGUUGACCUAAUUUCAUACUCGCCCACUUUUUAUACUUAGAUGCAUCCAUCGCAUGGAGAUCGAGUUGGAGACCUAGCUAGCUAGCUCAUCUUAAUUAUUGGUACCAAAUUCUUCCAACAAAUGGACAAAUAAUUCAAAAAAAUAUAUGCAUAUGUGCACAGGACAAAAUUCAUAUGCAAUUUGAUGGAACUUUUAUUUCAUUAAUGGAAUAAAGAUUGUAACAACUUCUUCUUCUUCUUCUUCUUGUAGCUAGCUCUAUAAUGGAUGGCUGGCAUGGCUAACCUGAUCGUGACAUAUCCACCACCAUCACCAUUGAUCACCAACCAUGCUUUAUUAUUUUACUUUUGUUCUAUAUAUAAAAAACAACACCAACUUUAACGUACACUGUAAAAAUGGAGACACCGAUCGAUCGAGCUGGAAGCAGUUUUCCCACAAAGUAUAGUAGAAGGUCAAGGCAGGUAUACAGAUAUGAUCGAUUUUACAUGAUGGCGCACGCUUGGGGAUUUUCUUCACUGAAACAAUCAGGGCGUGUCACGCAGUAACUACUAGUGGCGUAGCUCCUCCCACCGCCGUAACUAUCGUACACUGGCCUUCCAUAGUAGCCGUCGUACUGUAUGUAUGGUGCUGCCCCACCGUAACCGUACCCAGUUUGGCAGGGACCACCCGGAUGCCCUCCGUAACAUUCCAUACAACACGCGUUCACCGUCACCGGAGGGUAAGCAGUAACCGGAGGCUGAGUAGGCUGAGAAGGCUUCGGCUUCUCUGCGUCCUUGGGUUUCUCUUUAGGUUUUUCAGCCUCUUUAGGUUUCUCAGCCUCCUUUGGUUUCUCAGCCUCUUUUGGUUUCUCUUUAGGCUUUUCAGCCUCUUUAGGUUUCUCAGCCUCCUUUGGUUUCUCUUUAGGCUUCUCAGCCUCCUUUGGUUUCUCUUUAGGCUUCUCAGGCUCCUUGGGCUUGGGCUUCUCGGGCGGCAAGAUGUCGAUGCUCUUGAUGGCGCCACCUCCUUUGCAGCAUAGCUUGUCUCUGAUCUUCUCAGGACUGCAGCAGACCACCUUGAUGAUCACCUGGUUGUUCUUCUCGUCGUACGCCUGGUCUCGUAUUUCUCUUGUUCACAAAAUCCAACCAAUACCAGAAACCACACUCAAUUUACGUUUUUUUGUUUUCUCUGCUAAAAUACACAACGUACCAGAAUGGAAGAGAAAAGAAGAGACUCACGAGGGAAUUUACACAGAACUUUCUUAACCUUCUUGUAGCAUUUUUCACACUGAAGGUCCACCUUCAGAACCAUUAUCGUCACCUGAUGACAUUAAUACAAUCAUUUUUGCAGAAAUUAGAUAGGUAUAGAAUGGUUAAUUACUUCUUCUUCUUCUUCUUCUUUUUUUCUGCAGAAGAAGAAGUGAGUAAUUAAGAAUGGAUCGAAGAUGAUUUGAAGAUGGAUGAGGAAUUUUAUCCAUCAGGUUCUGUGUUUCUGACAGAAGAAUGAUGAGUCGGUUAUAGGCGACAAAUUGAAGAAGAAAGAGCCAAAAGCUUGAGAAUUAAAAAGUGAGGAGCAGCAGCCACAAAAAAUAAAAAUUGAGAGGAGCAGAUUUGAUGCAAUGGGCAAUCAAUCUACUUAUCUAUAUGAUGAGGAAAAAGAGCUGGAAAAGCAUAAACAACUUUCUAGUAGCUAAUGUUAAGAGAGAAAUACCUUUUUUUCCCCCAUUGUUGCAGCAGUGAGAUGGGAUCUGAUGUUCUUUGUGAACGGAACCUUCCCAGCUAAAAUGAUUGAAUAGGACGGGAGUCAGUGACCCGAGUUGGCAUAUAAAUUGAGCAGNNNNNNNNNNNNNNNNNNNNNNNNNNNNNNNNNNNNNNNNNNNNNNNNNNNNNNNNNNNNNNNNNNNNNNNNNNNNNNNNNNNNNNNNNNNNNNNNNNNNNNNNNNNNNNNNNNNNNNNNNNNNNNNNNNNNNNNNNNNNNNNNNNNNNNNNNNNNNNNNNNNNNNNNNNNNNNNNNNNNNNNNNNNNNNNNNNNNNNNNNNNNNNNNNNNNNNNNNNNNNNNNNNNNNNNNNNNNNNNNNNNNNNNNNNNNNNNNNNNNNNNNNNNNNNNNNNNNNNNNNNNNNNNNNNNNNNNNNNNNNNNNNNNNNNNNNNNNNNNNNNNNNNNNNNNNNNNNNUUUUUUUUUUUGGUCAAGAAAAAAAAAAGGGAACCAUUUAGCAAUGUUGACAUAUGCAUGGAGGUGAAACUUUCAAAAACCGCGGGCUCCAGAUAUUGACGAUUGCACGUUUCUUACACCCAGGGUCUUCGAUCUAUUACAUCUUCAUCAUGGAAAAUUAAAUUAUUAUGUUACGUACAUACAUGGAUAUGUGAUGUGGGAGUGGUUCUAAAAAUAACUAUUUAGUUGAAUAUUUUUUUAUUAAUAGUUUAUUACAUAUAUUUUUCAAUUAAUUUUUUAUCUCAACCGUUUAGUUUUUAAUAGAUCAUUUUUUUAAAUUUUCAACCAAAUUUUUGAUCGUUAAGGAAUCGAACUUAAUCAAAUCAAUUGACGAUCCUUAUCUAUUAAAUAUGAGUCGUUCAAGUUUAUAAUCGGUAAAUCACAUUUAUGAAUAUCUCAACGAUUUUAAAUUUAGAUAAAAAUUUAUAGAGAUGAUAUUUUCAUAUAUAUUUACAAAUUAGGCGGUCGAGAUGUGAACAUGUGAUUGAAAACGGAGUGAAACAAAGAAAUUUUCAAUUAGUCUUCAACUUAGUGGUCCUCGUUAGAACCACUCUCAUGUGAUACAAACAUACUUUAUUACGAGGCAAAAUUUUCCUAUCACACCAUCACCACCCUACUAGCACAUGUUCUUUUUUUCUUAGUUGUAUGUAUCAUAUACCUAUAACCUAUCUUCAUAGUAGAUAAUCCCCUUCAUCAUACAUACACGUGUUGUGUUUACACAGCUAUAUUCAAAAACUUAAUUUUAAGAUUAACCUCAUCGUCAUUCUAAUUUAAAAAUAAUAUUAUGAAAUAGCAUGUGAUCGACCUUUGGCUCUUUACUGAUGAUUGUAUUUGUGUGACUGUCUCCUCAAUUUGAUUCUUCGUCCCAUAAAAAUAAUAUAUAAGCGUAAUUAGUCUUUGUACGUAGUAUCAUCGAUCUUAUACGUACAUGGCCAUGCAUUUAUCCGUUGUAAUAUCACUGGUUAUUUGUUGAUGAGCAGACUAUAUGAUAGGUAGCUAUGUAGCAAAUUACUCAAUUCCGAGCACAAAAAUACAGCAAUCAAUUGUUUGUCUUGAUCGGUAGUCUCACUCAAUCACAUACGUAAGUGACCGGAUCACUCAUGCAUGACUCAGCUAGACCUAGAGCUGGAGGGUGGUGUCUUCAUAAGAAGUUGAAAUCUGUGAACACAGCCAUCGAAUAAAUUCAACAAAGUCCUCAGUAGUGGGCAUCGGACAACAACCUUACGCAACUUAGGCUCCAUCGAUCUCAUCAUAUAUGCUUUACAAAUAUUUCUUCUGCCGACAAUUUCACACAUUUUACAAGCCCAUAUGCCAGUCUUCUUAAAUAUAACCAAGAUAUGCCUUCCACUUAGCCCAAUGCAAUGGACCUAAUAUUAAGCCCACGCUAUAUAUGCACAAUCCGGGCCUCCCAUCUAUUCUGUACGGGAAUUAUGAUCGGUACGGUGAGUUUGAGACUCUGACCAGCAUCGUCGACGAUCCAAUGACUCGAUUCAUACACCAUUCAUGUACAAAAAACGAUACGAGUCUAUAACCAAUUUUUCAUCGAGUUUAUUGAGGCUACUGUGCACUUUGAACUCUGCACGACUCAUGCAUCUUCAAUCAUGUACGUGUAGCUAACUGAACCUGAAUCAAAUUCACACUCUUUAAAAUUAGUACUAAAUGAACAUACCUGUUCUCUUCAUUACAUAUCAGUGUAGCCGAUAUCAGCACACAUAGACAAAAGGGUGUUAUAGAGAAUUACAUUCAACUCCAUUCCCUUCUCCUUCAUCUCCUUGGCAAAGAGCCCUUGCUGAUCAUCUCUCGGUAAAUUUUCUUGGCCUGCCAAGGCCUCUUAGCUCUUCCCAUAGAAUCCAACAAAGUAUUAUAAAUAACCAUGUUCGGCUUAACCCAAAUUGCCUUCAUUUCCUCGUAAACUUUCAAGCACCCAUCAUAAUUCCCUGAUUGCCCGUGAAUCUUAAUCAACGUUGCAAAUGUCACUGGAUCAAUGCGCCAUUUCUCUGUCCUAGCGCAGUCAUACAAGCUAAAAGCCUUGUCAACAUUACCGGCACGGCCAUAUGCAUCGAUCAUAGCCGAAUAGGUAACAUCAUCAGGACUACACCCGUAACUAGGCAUCUUCUCAAACCACUCCACAGCCUUAUCAGGCAGAUAACACAUCCUAGCACAGCUAAUCAUAGUCGAAAACGUAACAUUAUCAGGUGUAACACCUCUCUCAAGCAUCUCAUUAAACAGCUUCUCUGCUCUCACUAAAUCCUUACACUUUCUAAACACUUUCAAUGUCACAUUGUAGAGAACCACUUCCCUCUUAGGUUUGAACAUGUGCUGAAAGUACUUUAGAGCAAGUAACGCAUUUUCGGGGUUACCAUGGUAUUAAGAACAACGACAGCAUCUUGUUCCAAAACCCCAUCACCUAAAGUCUUUAAAAUAUCAAAAACAUCACUUUCACUUAGGCAGACAGAGUUCAAGGACUCAGCUACUUUGACUAAAGAAGUGUACCUGGAAUCGUAGGACUUGUUCCUAAGAUGAGAAGCCCUGGGGCUGCUGGGAUUGACCCAAACAUAGCUUUUGGAGGAAGACUCGGAAUUUCCAUCGGGGUUUUCAGUUUUUGGGGUUUCUUGUAAAGAAACAUGGUUUAUUUGGAGAGAAAUUGUGGAGUGAAGAGUAGGGAAGGUGAGAUUGAAGGUGUGAGUAUCAGAGGUGGUUGGCCUGAGCUUUCUAGAGGAGGAGAGAGAGUGAGAGAGAAAGAGAGACGAGGGUGUGGAGGAUACAUGAUAAGCCAUUGUUUCCCUCUUUGUUUUGCGUCUGUGACUAUCAGGACCGAAGAGAGAGAUGAGGUUUAAUGGUCUCUGGUGUGGUGAGGGUACAUGGUUCGUUAUGGUGUUUCCUGCUUCUCCACCGUUGGAUAUAUGGGAUCGGCGUAUGAUUUUAGUUUAUAUUUGUUUUUUUUUUUCGUUUUAAAUGGUGGAUCUCGCAGCCCACAAAGGGCCGCCACACGUGGACCGCCUAGCCCUGUUUUGUCUCCGCCUAGCCCAUAGAAAUUAUUUUUUCUUUUGUAUUUUCUUUUUCUUUUUUUUAAAUCAUGGACCCCGUAUUCUGUUAAGGCCCGCUACACGUGGACCGCCUAGCGCCAUAUGGUCUCAGCCUAGCCCAUAUAAAUUACUUUUCUUUUAUAUUUUUUUUCCUCUAAAAAUCUGGGAUGAAACCUUUGGCGGCCUUGUUGUUGUUGUGUAGCCGACUUCUCCGUCUCCGCCGCGUAAUUGGACGGCAACCAUAGUCAUCUGUCUAAACAUAACAUGUAUGUGCCGAAUUGAGGUUUCUGAGUCGGAAGGUUGUUAGUCAUCGAUUGCAGGUAUAUAUGGUAUAUUACUGCCGUAUGUAUAUUGAUUGAUUUGUUUAGUUUCCGAGUUGAUUGUCAUGGAUUGGGUUAAAAAAGUUGAGCAUUAUAUUAUAGCUAUUUAUAGCUAUAAACAACACAUUGCAUAUCCAUUGAUGCAUAUAUGUUAGUGAUGUUUGAAUGAAAACUGAUUCGGUGUCGGCAAGUUUAUAAUGAAAACUGAUUUGGUGUUAGCAAGUUUCAGUUGAAUAAAGUUUGAAUUGCAUUUUGUAUAUUAUAGAUUAAGUUAUUAGUAGUCGCUUAUGCGUAUUGGUUUUAUUCUUGUUUUUGGUUUAAUCAGGUUUCAUUUUCUGUAUAUGUUACUAUUGAAUUUGUUGUGCUAGCAGGUUUCUUGGUUCUACUUGCUGAUGAUGAAGUUUAGGUAGCUGAUAAUUUUGUAAGCUUGUAGGUGUUUUGCCUUGUGUCAUGGUCCGCUGCGGAGGGUGGAUGAUCCAGCAAAUGCAGCCUGCUUGGAAGUAAGUUAAUCUCAUGAAAUUAUCUCAUGUUUUUAAUCUUUGUUAGAGCUCUAUACAUUUUUUUGUUUGAGCAUACCAGUUUCUGUGUCAAGUCAAGUUUACUGCUUGGGAUUCAGAUCUUCUAUUUAGUCUCUGUUGUUUUACUUUUAUUCGUCUCUUUGUCCAAUUGUUAUAAGAUAAAAAAAUAAAAAAAGGUUAUAUAAGAUGCUAGAUUGAGAAUGUCCCAAGUUCUAAAACACCACAUAAUGUUUCGUUUUGUACAAAAGGACCUGAAACACUGAAGGAAGAUGGUACGUAACUUAUUGUUCCUGGAAUCCAUAACUUUACAUCAACAACUUAUUGUUCCUGUAACAACUUAUUCUUCUUCUUGUACCUCUAUAAUGGAUGGCUGGCACCGUGGCGUAGCUAGCUAGGGGUCAAACGGUUCAAUUGAACCCUCUCAGAUUUUGAAAAAGCUUAAUUAGCUAGCCUUAAUGAACAAACAUAAAUUGACAUUUCUUCUUUGAGAAAUCCUUAAUUAAUCUUAAAUAUUCUUCAACACCAAUAGAAUGAAAUAAAAAUUUAUACUAUUAAAAUACUUAAUCUAAUUAAUACAAAUCAUGUAAAUAGUUUCUUACCUUACUAACGUGUACUUUAAUGCUUUGAAUUCCAUUUACGAUUUUUUUUUUCAUUACAAAUAAGCUAAAUGGAAGCAACACAUUAAUGUUUACUAUGCAUUGACACUAUCUCUAGAAAAAGAAAAGGCAACAUAUUUUUCUCAAUAUUUAUCGUGCAUGAAAUUUCAAAAUUUAUUUAAGAUGAUUAUCGUGCUAGCUAGAGAGUGAUUGAAAAUAAAUUUAAUUUAUUAGGUAAUAAAUUUUGACCAUUCUAAAUAACAUUUCUAGCUACGCCACAGAGGGACGGCUACCUGAUCGUGACAUAUCCACCACCAUCACCAUUGAUCACCAACCAUACUUUAUUAUUUACUUUUGUUCUAUAUAUAAAAAACAACACCAACUUUAAAAAACAACACCAACCUUAAAAAUAGAGAUCGGUCGAGCUGGAAGCAGCUUUCCCACAAAGUACAAUAGCAGGUCAAGGCAGGUAGACAGACAUGAUCGAUUUUACAUGAUGGCGCACGCUUGGGGAUUUUCUUCACUGAAACAAUCGGGGCGUGUCACGCAGUAACUACUAGUGGAGUAGCUCCUCCCACCGCCGUAACUAUCAUACACUGGCCUUCCAUAGUAGCCAUCGUACUCUAUGUAUGGUGCUGCCCCACCGUAACCGUACCCAGUUUGGCAAGGACCACCC
rnacentral:lncRNA from 1 species